GAUGAACGCUGGCGGCGUGCCUAAUACACGCAAGUCGAGCGAAUGGAUUAAGAGCUUGCUCUUAUGAAGUUAGCGGCGGACGGGUGAGUAACACGUGGGUAACCUGCCCAUAAGACUGGGAUAACUCCGGGAAACCGGGGCUAAUACCGGAUAACAUUUUGAACCGCAUGGUUCGAAAUUGAAAGGCGGCUUCGGCUGUCACUUAUGGAUGGACCCGCGUCGCAUUAGCUAGUUGGUGAGGUAACGGCUCACCAAGGCAACGAUGCGUAGCCGACCUGAGACGGUGAUCGGCCACACUGGGGCUGAGACACGGCCCAGACUCCUCCGGGAGGCAGCAGUAGGGAAUCUUCCGCAAUGGACGAAAGUCUGACGGAGCAACGCCGCGUGAGUGAUGAAGGCUUUCGGGUCGUAAAACUCUGUUGUUAGGGAAGAACAAGUGCUAGUUGAAUAAGCUGGCACCUUGACGGUACCUAACCAGAAAGCCACGGCUAACUACGUGCCAGCCGCCGCCGUAA
rnacentral:rRNA from 1 species